UUAACAGUGCUGGCAUCUUUUGGGCAUAUUUUUUCUUUUAAUGAAUGAGCUUUCGCUGUUAAUGAGGAAUAAUCGUUUGGCUAAUGAGCUUUGAAACAUUAAGAGAAAAGAGGGUUUUUUCCCGUUAAUUGCCCUGGUGCGACCGCAUGGAUGGAUUACAAAAGACAGCAGUAGGAACGCAGUACAAAGAGGGGAAAUGUCUCCUGGAGUGGGAUAAAUGCAGAGAUGGGUGAUGCAUCCCUGCACCUCUCCUUCCUUCGCUCUCUCUUACUCCCUCUCUGCCAACUGCUAUGGGUUUCCAUAACUCCGCAAUCAAAGUGGAUGCUCGGGGAAGAUUAUUAUAGUCAAACAGUGAAGCAUCGGCGGCUAAUGUCUCCAGUGUUUAAUCAUCAUACAGUAGAAUGGUUUUAUGCAUAUUUCAUUUGCAUAUCAUUAAACCACGCUAGCGCGGGACAUUCAGAGCUGGAGAGGUACAAAGUUGGGGGGAGAGAGUGGGAGAGCGAGAAUGAGACAGAGGGAGGAAGGUCCCUGUGAUGCCUAUCUUCAAAAGCCAGGGACUUGUUCCAUGAUCUGUCUUCUACUUUUACUAAAAUCAUGAUGACUUGGAAACCUUUGAAGUUGGAUACAACCUUGGAUUCUUCUAAUUCCAGCAGAGUGAUGUAUUAGAAAGGGGGAAAUGAUGCUGCGCUAGACAUUUAAAGGAAUAUAAGCUCCAGUGGAAUGGAAAUAGGAGCUCUUUGGGGAACGAACUGGCAGACCCAGCCACAGCUUCAGCAUCACACUGCUGGGUUCAUACUGGUGAAGGAUACCAAAGUAAUACAAAAGAAAUGAAGACAACAUAUACAUUAAGAUGGGGAUUAUAUUUACUCUUUCUCUUUUCCUUUUUAAAGGCACAAAGAAGGAUGGAACCAGCGGUAAUUUACACGCUAAUUAGCGAACUGUUGCCUCUUUUUGUGUUUGUUUUUCUUCUCUAUUUUGGAGAGGGGCGUUUUCAUCGCUGAAGUGAUUAAUCAAUUAUUUGGUAGCACAGAGCCUUCUCCACUGGCACUGAUCAGGAAGAGAAGGUGGUGGCUGCGGGGGGAGGAACACAGUGGGCUCUUUGUAGAUCUUAUACAUGCACAACAUAUUAAUUGGGGUCUUUAUAAAGCUCCCUCAAUAGACUAUUUCUUUCCUGGAGACCAGCAGCUGGUUAGCCACCGUUGGCGACUCUUCAAACAUCCUUUUGGCUGGGGGCAGUUCUGCCGCUGUUUGUUGUUGUGCUUUAUUUUCUCUCUCCACAGCGGGGGCUGCGGGUACGAUGCUCGCACUGCCCACACUUCUGUAUAGGAGACGGACAGACAGAACCAAGACAAGCUCUUGAGCUGGACGGGGAACUUUGCUUCCAAAUGAAAUACUGUUUUAUAUUUAAAUUACCUUCCUUUUCCUCCCCACUUCUCUUCUCCUCCAAGUCUUUGUGUCUGUUAUGAAUAUUCAGAUGAGCCGUGAUGUGAUUACACUGUACAAUUACUUGUGUCCGUGAUAGAGGCAAAGGCACUGAGGAAAGACAGAGCCAGAUGAGCUUGGAGCUCAUUUGGGGUUUGUUUUCUGUAUUUUCCCCCAUCUCCGUGGCACUGCGGCACAUGCAGAUGUCGCUGUUGUUCUUCAUAAAGCCCUAAUGAUAUGCAAAAGCAUAACGACCCCAUUUCAGUUCAGAGCAUCAACGAAAUAUUAUUGGGGGGGAAUCCUAACUGAAGGAAUGUCCACAUAAAUUAUUUUUAUUUAAAUGAAGAGGUGGCAGUGAGGCAGAGGAAGUCACAUGAAUACAUGCAUAAUGUGAGCACACAGAAAGGUUAUCGCCAAGGAGAAGAGGGUUUUGCACUGUGCCUGGGACAAACAGGCUCAUUUGGGGAAAUCGUUCAGCCCACCAUGUGAUUUACUUAUUUAUCAUCAUUCAUCCCUCAGCCAGGGCACCAGGCGUGCUCGCUGCUGGAGACCUGGAGCACCAGGAGCUGGAUGCCGGGAUGAUUCCUGGUUAUCCUUCAGAAAUACCAUUAAGUGUGCAGUGGAAGGGGGACAGGAGAAAAGGAACCAGAGGGAGAAUGUUUUAAGUGCCGCAGCUCAGUGACAAAGGAGGGGCCUGAUGACAGCUCAGCGAUGGAGUGACAAGAGGCCACCCAGGCGCUGGCUGAUACCAGGCUGGCAUGCGCGCUUCCCAAGGGCCAGAGCGCCGACACAGUGGCUGGUGGGUCCCCAGCACAGUUCACAGAAAAUUAAUUUAGCAAAUAAAGUGAAGACUUAACAACAGAGGAGCUUUGCCAAGGCAGAGAACAAGAAUCCUGUGAUCUGGGUGACCAGAGGACUGCAUCAGAGGACAAGUGCUCAGGGAACUUUCCCCAGUCCAUUCCAGUAUCAGACACUUGUUCAGAGAACACACGUGACAGUCCCUGCUCUUACACCAAGCAGAGCUGCUCAGCUUGUGAGUAUCAAGGCCCAGAUCCUUCAUCAUCUUGGCCUUGAAAGAAGCAUCCAGAUCCAGCGCUACUGGAAGCACCCUCCAUUCAGACAUGAAUUUGAGUCUGGCAUGAACAAAGGCCAUGACUCCUGAAACAGGAGGUGAUGUGAUAAAGGCAUGGUGAAUUAAGCUUUCAGUGCUUGUGAUUUCCAGCCAGGAGACAUGAACUCAAUCAGCCUCUGUCCAACAUCCAAUUAGUACAAUCACCUCAAUUCACAAACUACUGAACAAUUUAACCAGGACUCUGCUUAAAAGUGCUGGGAGAUUUCUGUUCUGGCACAUUUUGGUUUCAGUAAAGAGCUCUUAGAGAUAAAAUUCCUCACUUCAGCUGCUGAGGUAACCACAUCACAGGCCACACUCAUUGGAGCUCUGGGCCUUUUGCAGCUGCAUCAAUGUUGUUCUGAAUCAAGCUGAAUGCAGGGGCAGCAACUCUAAUUAUCUUCUCUUAAACUUAUAGCACAACAUUCCAGAUCCUCUCCUUUGAACUGUUACCUGAUCCCCUGAGCAUUGGCAGCAGUAGCAAAGGCUGGCAGGUGUAAAUGCUCCUGGGAAUCAGUCACCUCUCACAAAGCCAAAGACCAUCCCGGCAUGGUUUUUCCCUCCUUGGAAUGGCUAGUAGUUUUCAGGGAAUACAACCGUUAGUUACUGAACCUGAGCAUUGGCCACCAUCAAUUUAACAAGUCACAGAGUCUCUUAUACCUUCACAGGAAGCAAUGUGUGUCCCUCCUAUCUACAGCCAGAACAUGAACUUGGCCAAUGCAAAAUGGAAUCACCCUUUACUUACUAGAGAUAUCUGUUCAAAAUUAGAGCAUCAGUCAAUCUAGGAACACAGCAGAGGGAAAGAAUGUCAUACUUUAGGGUAAGAGCUUUUUUUACUUUAGUCAUCCCACACAGUAAAGGACAAAGAUUCCAUAGACAAACAUCUUGCUGCACAGCAAGUUUAAGGAUGUGCUGGGGUCUCAUUUCCUGUUUUUCCCUACUUUUCCUGUGGCAUUGCCAAUUCAGUUUGAGGCUUCCUGCUACCAUUUCCUACUUCUUAGUUUCAUUCAGGCACAUGAGCAGUCCCUAGGUGCUGGUGAAUACACACUUUCCAAUGCCUCCCACUGUUCCUUACAGCUCCAGAAUUCAAAACAUCCCGUGGUUUAUUGAUCCACCUAACCACACUUUGCCACCAAUCUUUGCAUUCUUCCUGACUCAUGCAUCAGAGUGGAAAGUGUGUGACACAUCACUUUCCAACUGACCUGAAGGGUUUUCACACCAUGUAGUCACAAUUCCCUGACAGCCACUCUUUCUCCUUCAGUUGGCAUCUGAUAGAAAAAUAUCCAGUAUUACCAGAGUGAUUCUGCAGUUCUUGAGCAAGCCAAGUGUGGUGGUGAUGAGUGUGGUCAGACCCUGGCACACACUGCCCAGAGAAGCUCUGACCGCCCCAUCCCUGGAAGUGUCCAAGGCCAGGCUGGAUGGGGCUUGGAGCAACCUGGGACAGUGGAAGGUGUCCCUGCCCGGGGGCAUCUUUAAAUGCCCCUUCCAACUUAACCCAGUCUGUGAUCCUGUGACUUUGGAACAUAGUUGCUUCCAUCCUGCCCCAAAGAGAUCUACUUGUGGGGGGUGAAUAUCUGACAAAGAACAGUCAGUUAUCUGUGGAUGCCACGUUUAAGCCCGUGUCAGCAAGGUCUGCAGGACACCCUGGAAUGAAAAGUCUUCUUAAGAGCAGUGUCACCCAAGCAGGGUUUCAACCAUGGUCAGGAAAUCACGUCCUGGGUUAUCAUGUUUGUGGUAAGAACAUUCUCUGUUAUAAUCACCCAGAUUUGGAUAUACAUCUACAGGAGAAAAAUCAAUCCCUGCAUGUGAAAACAAAAGCAUGGAUGUGCUCCCUUCUAGCUGAAAGGGGCUGCUGAUGCACCAGGUCUAAGCUCUACCUGACCUGGCCUUGCACAGGUUCCCCCGGAUCCUGCUGGGAGGGAUCUCUGAUCACUGCAACCUUUUCUCUGUAGGAAUUACUUCCCCCAUGACCCUUCCCAAACUGCAGUCUGUACAGCAGGUUGUCUGAAACUCAUUUGUGCAAACACUUCACAUUUAGAGAUGAUUAUGUGUACAAUAGUAUCUCAUGCAUGCUUUGCGGUAAUAAAACAGAUCGAGUUUUUAAGUGA